GACGAACGCUGGCGGCGUGCCUAAUACAUGCAAGUUGAGCGCUGAAGGUUGGUACUUGUACCGACUGGAUGAGCAGCGAACGGGUGAGUAACGCGUGGGGAAUCUGCCUUUGAGCGGGGGACAACAUUUGGAAGCGAAUGCUAAUACCGCAUAAAAACUUUAAACACAAGUUUUAAGUUUGAAAGAUGCAAUUGCAUCACUCAAAGAUGAUCCCGCGUUGUAUUAGCUAGUUGGUGAGGUAAAGGCUCACCAAGGCGAUGAUACAUAGCCGACCUGAGAGGGUGAUCGGCCACAUUGGGACUGAGACACGGCCCAAACUCCUACGGGAGGCAGCAGUAGGGAAUCUUCGGCAAUGGACGAAAGUCUGACCGAGCAACGCCGCGUGAGUGAAGAAGGGUUUCGGAUCGUAAAACUCUGUUGGUAGAGAAGAACGUUGGUGAGAGUGGAAAGCUCAUCAAGUGACGGUAACUACCCAGAAAGGGACGGCUAACUACGUG
rnacentral:rRNA from 1 species